CCUACGGGUGGCAGCAGUGGGGAAUAUUGGACAAUGGGCGAAAGCCUGAUCCAGCCAUGCCGCGUGUGUGAAGAAGGCCUUCGGGUUGUAAAGCACUUUCAGUGGGGAAGAAAGCCUUGGGGCUAAUACCCUCGAGGAAGGACAUCACCCACAGAAGAAGCACCGGCUAACUCCGUGCCAGCAGCCGCGGUAAUACGGAGGGUGCGAGCGUUAAUCGGAAUUACUGGGCGUAAAGCGCGCGUAGGCGGUCUGAUAAGCCGGUUGUGAAAGCCCCGGGCUCAACCUGGGAACGGCAUCCGGAACUGUCAGGCUAGAGUGCAGGAGAGGAAGGUAGAAUUCCCGGUGUAGCGGUGAAAUGCGUAGAGAUCGGGAGGAAUACCAGUGGCGAAGGCGGCCUUCUGGACUGACACUGACGCUGAGGUGCGAAAGCGUGGGUAGCAAACAGGAUUAAUACCCCGGUAGUC
rnacentral:rRNA from 1 species